UCAAGUGCCAGAAGGGCAUUUGGUGGAUGCCUAGGCGCACACAGGCGAUGAAGGACGUGCUACGCUGCGAUAAGCUACGGGGAGCUGCGAAUAAGCUUUGAUCCGUAGAUGUCCGAAUGGGGAAACCCACUUUAUAACAUAGAAAUGUUGAGAUAUUUGGUGUCUUAACAUUUCUAUGUUGUGAGGUAUUUAAUUCUGAAUACAUAGGAAUUAAAAGCGAACCCAGGGAACUGAAACAUCUAAGUACCUGGAGGAAAGGAAAUCAACCGAGACUCCGCUAGUAGUGGCGAGCGAACGCGGAUCAGGCCAGUAAUAUAUAGUUAAAAACCAGAAUCAGCUGGAAAGCUGAGCCAUAGUAGGUGAUAGCCCCGUAUGGGUAAAAAUUCUAUAUAUUCUUGAGUAGGGCGGGACACGUGAAAUCCUGUUCGAACGUGGGGGGACCACCCUCCAAGCCUAAGUACUCGUGUGCGACCGAUAGUGAACAAGUACCGUGAGGGAAAGGUGAAAAGUACCCCGACAAGGGGAGUGAAAUAGUAUCUGAAACCGAAUGCUUACAAACAGUCGGAGCCCAAGGUUCGUCCUGGGUGACGGCGUACCUUUUGUAUAAUGGGUCAACGACUUAAUUUAACGAGCAAGCUUAAGCCGAUAGGUGUAGGCGUAGCGAAAGCGAGUCUUAAUAGGGCAACAAGUUCGUUGGAUUAGACCCGAAACCGAGUGAUCUAGGUAUGGGCAGGCUGAAGGUGCGGUAACACGCACUGGAGGGCCGAACCCACGCACGUUGAAAAGUGCGGGGAUGACCUGUGCCUAGGGGUGAAAGGCCAAUCAAACUCGGAAAUAGCUGGUUCUCCGCGAAAUCUAUUUAGGUAGAGCGUUGAAUGAAUACCCUCGGGGGUAGAGCACUGGAUCGGCUAGGGGGCCCCAACGGCUUACCAAACCGAACCAAACUCCGAAUACCGAGGAGUACUAUUUAGCAGACACACGGCGGGUGCUAAGGUCCGUCGUGGAAAGGGAAACAGCCCAGACCGCCAGCUAAGGUCCCCAAAUUAUGGCUAAGUUGGAAAGAAUGUGAGAGUCCCAAAACAACCAGGAUGUUGGCUUAGAAGCAGCCAUCAUUUAAAGAAAGCGUAACAGCUCACUGGUCUAAAUAAGGGUUCUUGCGUCGAAAAUGUAACGGGGAUUAAGCCAUAUACCGAAGCUGCGGGUGCAUUUUUAAUGCGCGGUAGCGGAGCGUUCCGUAAGUUGCUGAAGGGUGACCCGUGAGGGCACCUGGAGAUAUCGGAAGUGCGAAUGUUGACAUGAGUAACGAUAAAGAGUGUGAGAAACACUCUCGCCGAAAGUCCAAGGGUUCCUGCUUAAAGCUAAUCUGAGCAGGGUUAGCCGGCCCCUAAGGCGAGGCCGAAAGGCGUAGUCGAUGGGAACUAGGUUAAUAUUCCUAGGCCAGUGGGUGGUGACGAAUAUUGUAAGUUGUUAAUCCUUAUUGGAUUGGGUUGGCAGCGAAAAUGUUCCAGGAAAUAGCCCCCACAUGAGACCGUACCCUAAACCGACACAGGUGGACAGGUAGAAGAUACUAAGGCGCUUGAGAGAAUUACGUUGAAGGAACUCGGCAAAUUGCUCCCGUAAGUUCGCGAGAAGGGAGCCCAGCCUUUGGGCAACCAUUGGUUGGGGGCACAGAAUAGGGGGUGGCGACUGUUUACUAAAAACACAGGACUCUGCGAAGCCGCAAGGCGAUGUAUAGGGUCUGACGCCUGCCCGGUGCCGGAAGGUUAAAAGGAGAGGUGAGAGCUUUGAAUUGAAGCCCCGGUAAACGGCGGCCGUAACAAUAACGGUCCUAAGGUAGCGAAAUUCCUUGUCGGGUAAGUUCCGACCUGC
rnacentral:rRNA from 1 species